AGAGUGAACGCUGGCGGUAGGCCUAACACAUGCAAGUCGAACGGCAGCACAGUAGGAGCUUGCUCUUACGGGUGGCGAGUGGCGGACGGGUGAGGAAUACAUCGGAAUCUACCUUUUGGUGGGGGAUAACGUAGGGAAACUUACGCUAAUACCGCAUACGCCCUUCGGGGGAAAGCCGGGGACCAGCAAUGGCCUGGCGCUGAUAGAUGAGCCGAUGUCGGAUUAGCUAGUUGGUGAGGUAAUGGCUCACCAAGGCGACGAUCCGUAGCUGGUCUGAGAGGACGAUCAGCCACACUGGAACUGAGACACGGUCCAGACUCCUACGGGAGCAGCAGUGGGGAAUAGUUGGACAAUGGGCGCAAGCCUGAUCCAGACCAUACCGCGUGGU
rnacentral:rRNA from 1 species